UACGUAGGGGGCAAGCGUUGUCCGGAAUUAUUGGGCGUAAAGCGCGCGCAGGUGGUUCUUUAAGUCUGAUGUGAAAGCCCACGGCUCAACCGUGGAGGGUCAUUGGAAACUGGGGAACUUGAGUGCAGAAGAGGAAAGUGGAAUUCCAAGUGUAGCGGUGAAAUGCGUAGAGAUUUGGAGGAACACCAGUGGCGAAGGCGACUUUCUGGUCUGUAACUGACACUGAGGCGCGAAAGCGUGGGGAGCAAACAGG
rnacentral:rRNA from 1 species